UCACAAUCUUAAGAUAAAAUUGCAUCUUUGCAUCAAUUAGCACCAUUUUCUUAUGUUGUUCUAAGCAGUCUAUCUUUUUUCCACACCAGUAACAUUUCAGAAAUACUAUCUUUUUUGUUUAUGAGUGAAAUACUAUUCAAGACUGGAUGCUGAACUGGCUGAAGCAUUAAUUUAUAAAACUUCUUAUUUAGGGGUUUGUGCUGUAAGAGAGGCCUUUUAUUACCACUCAGAUAACUCUACUAGAAACUAUUAAAUUACACUUUUCUGAAAUGAAUGAAAUUGUGAAGAUCACAAGCAACCCAGUCAGGCCAGUAGAAUAUUUGCAUUCUUUUCAGCUGCUUUCAGAACCAAACCAAAUUCCUAAAACCCUGAGAUCAUUCCCACCUCCUCGAGUGACCCAUUUUUUUAUGUGAUUCUAAUUCCCUGUCAGCCACAGGUCAGGUCCUUUCUCUCUCAGGAACUACUACUACAAGUUACUCUGUGCCUUGUAUGUGCAUCACCUGCCUCAGCUACAUACUUUGUGUUUCAGGUCACUAAUUUGUUAAAUGAGAAACAGUGGCUUCCAUCCUGGAAGUAAACUAAAAUGUUAAAUGAUGAAUUUAAACAGGUUUUAAAUUGCAAGUUAAAUGAAUAGGCAAAGUUACAAAAGAGACAAUCAAAUAAAAUCAUUCCAUAAUUAUGUUUGCAUCAUUCAAAGUGCCUGUAGGGUUGACAAAGAUUUUCCCAUGCUCUCAAAAAACAGGCAGCCCAGUAAAGGAGAAAGUGAGAACAAGCUUCUUAUGAGAAAGACUCACUAAUUUCUAAUAACAGACAAAUUUGAGAGGCAUAUGAGUGUUAACCCAGGAUUUUCUCUUUUACAACACUUAUGGUUACUGUCUUUUAAUUAAACUUACUAGUUCAAAGGUACAACAUUGCUCUUUACAUAUCUACCCCUAAUUUUACUUUUGGAAUUUAUUUCCAGUUUGUAUAAUUAUAUGUAAAAACCCAUUCUGGUUUCACCAAUGCCAUACAAAAGAAGAGAGCGAAUCAACAUUUCCAGAGUCAAAUGAUCCUUUAUUGGAGAGCUAAUAACCUUUUUCCAUCUUCUCUCUCUGAGGUUUGUUUAUUAGUGCUCUGUCUAAAGAAUCCCAGGAUUUCUCCUCAAAAUAGUACUUCUAACCUCUUUCUACAAAUGGAACCUAACAUUUUUUUUCCCACAGAACAGGAGCAAAAUGCUUGCAGUAAGACAAGAUCAGCUUUUCACAAAAAGCUUCCACACAAAUAUGAACUAGCUGGGGAUAAUUUAUAAACCACUGGGAACACUAUGUUAUUUAGACAGCUAGUUUGAUUAUUUCUGUAUUCAAGUUUAAUUCCACCCUUAUUAAAAUGGCCAUUUUUUUCUAUACUCUCAUUAUUGAAUGGAGAUAAUUUGGCACAGAUUUCACAUCAGAUUGCAGCAAUAUCCAUCUUGAAGGCUGUGCCCAGCCUGCAUCUGCUCAGCUGAGUGCUGGCACGUUGAUUCUCAGUUCUCAGCACAUGACAUUCUCCAAGCUAUAGCUGAUUUGGGUGGCUGAUGGCCAUGGAGGCUGUUGCCAAGCCACUGCACUGUGGCCACCAUUGCUGGCCAGCAUGAACUUGUUUUUGGCCCCUCUGUGCUGUACAUGAGCAUGAAAACAAGCCAGCCCAGGGAGAUCCCAGAGUCUGAGUGCAAAGCACCACCAAGCCUGCACUGGUCUGUCACUAUUCCAGCCACCAGAGCUAUUUAAAUACAAGCAGGUGACUGCUUUGCUCUGCCCAAAGCUGUGACCCAGCUGUGACACAAGUGUAGCUUGGCAGAUGUGGUGGAUCUGCUCUCUGGCACAGGGCAGCUCUCCAUGUGCGAGCCUCUGGCUGCACACCAAGCAGGUGUGAGAUGUGAAGGGGAUGGAAAAACAAGUCAUGCUGCCUACAAAAAUAACUGCAGUUCAGCACAAUUAGUGCAGGCUCGGGGUGACCUCCACAUGGCAAUGCAAUGGUUUUAAGGCAGUGGCAGCAGGUCUAUGGGCUGUGAUUCACAGACACGUGCAGGGCGCCAUGUCACGGUAGCCCUGGGAACGGUGGAACCAGACCCAGAGGAAUGGGUUGUUCUACAUCAUCAGUUGGCAAGGACAGAUGCUGCAAAGCAGAUGUAACUUUAGAGCUCUCUUGUGUUCAUUUCCUCCAGAUUACAGUGACACAUAAAGAUAAGUGAGAUCCUGUGCAGAAUCACCAAGAAAGGACACUGAGAAUACCAAAACCAGAGUGCAAAAGCUGGCAGAUGGACCUGUACCAUAUCAGCAUUGCUUUGUGUUGUGCUUUCAAGAAUGAUAAUAGAACCAACAAAAUUAUUUUAUUUUCUGCUCUGUGCACACUGCAGAGAAAUUUCAGUAAGCGGCACUUGGUCUUUAUUUAUUUUCAUUUUAAGCUCUUGCUGAGAUCAAAAAUUAUUUCUGCUGUGUUUAGUUUGCUUUUAUUAUAUAGUGUUCCAAACAUUCUGUUUAAAUUCUCACAAAGGAUGCUUUUUGGAAACAAGCCAGGCUUUCUGAAUCUUUGGUAGGGAUGUUUUGAGACAGAAAACAGGAAAUCAUGCUUGUAUAGUCUCCGGACACACAGGGAUAAAAGAUGACUCCUAUGACUAAACAUGCAUCAACCAAGAAAUCCAUCUUGGGCUGGAUAUAGUGAAGAUUUUAGUUACAAAUGCCUGCCUUUACAGGUAACCUAAGGACUCAACUCAAAGCAGAGACACCCUCAAACAUAACCUCACAUUCAGUAAAACAAUUCACAAUUAUAACAUCCACAGUAUCAGCACAACUCUUUUCUGCCUUCUCACUGUUUCACUGGGAUGUAGAAAACCAUUUCACAGUCUUAUUUUUGCCUAACAUAUGGAAUGAACCUGCCAUCAUUUUGGGGUGUACAUCUAUACACACACACACAUCAUUGUACUGGCCCUCUGAAAUGGAUGUCUGACCAAGAAAUGUGAGGUACAUUCAAAUUCAAGUUUAGAAACUUUCACUUAAGAGGUGGUUCAGGGGACCUGAUAAGUAUUGAAGAUAAAGAGGGGUGCUAUUGACUCCAAGAGAUUUUGGAUUUCGGCGUGAGUUAUUUUGAACUGACUCUGCUCUCUGAGUCCACCUCCAGAGAAGUCAGAAUGAGUAGUCCCUUCUGAUAAAGUUCAUUAGCCAUUAAUUUUUAUUUAAUGUUUUAUAUAAAAAAGUUUUUUUUUCCUGAGGUAAUUUUGGUAUUGUGUAGUUGUGUUCUUCUUAAACUUAAUGCUGUAGAAGACAAAAAUAAUUUU